rnacentral:lncRNA from 1 species
AUGAAGUUCUUAGCAGUCCUGGUACUCUUGGGAGUUUCCAUCUUUCUGGUCUCUGCCCAGAAUCCGACAACAGCUGCUCCAGCUGACACGUAUCCAGCUACUGGUCCUGCUGAUGAUGAAGCCCCUGAUGCUGAAACCACUCCUACCACUGCAACCACCGCUGCUUCUACCACUGCUCGUAAAGACAUUCCAGUUUUACCCAAAUGGGUUGGGGAUCUCCCGAAUGGUAGAGUGUGUCCCUGA